GACGAACGCUGGCGGCGUGCUUAACACAUGCAAGUCGAACGGUAAGGCCCUUCGGGGUACACGAGUGGCGAACGGGUGAGUAACACGUGGGUGAUCUGCCCCGCACUUCGGGAUAAGCCCGGGAAACUGGGUCUAAUACCGGAGAGGACCACUGCCUGCAUGGGUGGUGGUGGAAAGAUUUUGCGGUGUGGGAUGGGCCCGCGGCCUAUCAGCUUGUUGGUGGGGUGAUGGCCUACCAAGGCGACGACGGGUAGGCGGCCUGAGAGGGUGACCGGCCACACUGGGACUGAGAUACGGCACAGACUCCUACGGGAGGCAGCAGUGGGGAAUAUUGCACAAUGGGCGCAAGCCUGAUGCAGCGACGCCGCGUGAGGGAUGACGGCCUUCGGGUUGUAAACCUCUUUCAGUACCGACGAAGCGCAAGUGACGGUAGGUGCAGAAGAAGGACCGGCCAACUACGUGCCAGCCGCCGCAGUAA
rnacentral:rRNA from 1 species